rnacentral:rRNA from 1 species
CCCUUAGAUGUCCGGGGCCGCACGCGCGCUACACUGAAGGAAUCAGCGUGGCUUUCUCCCUGACCCGAAAGGGUUGGGAAACCCGUUGAAUCUCCUUCGUGAUAGGGAUUGGGGCUUUAAAUUGUUCCCCAUGAACGAGGAAUUCCCAGUAAGCGCGAGUCAUAAGCUCGCGUUGAUUACGUCCCUGCCCUUUGUACACACCGCCCGUCGCUACUACCGAUUGAACGGUUUAGUGAGGGCCUCGGAUUGGUCUCGGCCCGCUCUUUACCGGGCGGCGCCGUUGGUCGAGAAGACGCUCGAACUUGAUCGUUUAGAGGAAGUAAAAGUCGUAACA